AGCAGCCGCGGUAAUUCCAGCUCCAAUAGCGUAUAUUAAAGUUGUUGCAGUUAAAAGCUCGUAGUUGAAUUUUGGAUUCUACCAAUCGGUCCAUCUUUUGAUGAGUACUGGUUGUGUGGGGUCUAUCCGCCUGGUGAUACGUAAUGUCCUUUAUUGGAUGUUGCGGGUAGUCAGGACCUUUACCUUGAAAAAAUUAGAGUGUUUAAAGCAGGCUUAUGCCGGAAUACAUUAGCAUGGAAUAAUAGAAUAGGACGAAGUUGUUUUAUUUUGUUGGUUUCUAGGACAACCGUAAUGAUUAAUAGGGAUAGUUGGGGCAUUAGUAUUCAAUUGUCAGAGGUGAAAUUCUUGGAUUUACUGAAGACUAACUACUGCGAAAGCAUUUGCCAAGGAUGUUUUCAUUAAUCAAGAACGAAAGUUAGGGAUCGAAGACGAUCAGAUACCGUCGUAGUCUUAACCAUAAACUAUGCCGACUAGGGAUCGGGCGAUGUUGUUUCAAUGACUCGCUCGGCACCUUAUGGGA
rnacentral:rRNA from 1 species